GGAUACUGAAUUCCUGGCAUCUCCUUGAAACGUUGCACUUGAAUUUAUCUGGAAAUGGAGGAAUGCUUGCGAAAAGUGUUUUAUUGGAACAGAUCCAGGCCAAUUGGUUCACAUAUCAUCUGUGCCUGUUUUCACUACAAUGACAUAGAAGACCAACUGUACAGAGAGAGUAACUCAUAUACAGCAUCUGAUGUUUUCAUCUGAGAC